AGAGCUUGCUCUUAUGAAGUUAGCGGCGGACGGGUGAGUAACACGUGGGUAACCUGCCCAUAAGACUGGGAUAACUCCGGGAAACCGGGGCUAAUACCGGAUAACAUUUUGAACUGCAUGGUUCGAAAUUGAAAGGCGGCUUCGGCUGUCACUUAUGGAUGGACCCGCGUCGCAUUAGCUAGUUGGUGAGGUAACGGCUCACCAAGGCAACGAUGCGUAGCCGACCUGAGAGGGUGAUCGGCCACACUGGGACUGAGACACGGCCCAGACUCCUACGGGAGGCAGCAGUAGGGAAUCUUCCGCAAUGGACGAAAGUCUGACGGAGCAACGCCGCGUGAGUGAUGAAGGCUUUCGGGUCGUAAAACUCUGUUGUUAGGGAAGAACAAGUGCUAGUUGAAUAAGCUGGCACCUUGACGGUACCUAACCAGAAAGCCACGGCUAACUACGUGCC
rnacentral:rRNA from 1 species